CUACUUCCUUUACUCUCUGCUAUGGUCUGACUGUUGGUGUCCCCCCCAAAUUCACAUGCUGAAAUCCUAGCUCCUAAGCUGCCGCCCGCGGAGGAUGGUUAGACAACCCCACCCAAAAGUAUGAACUGAGAGUGAGAGAAGGAUAAUUCCCCAGAAGAAAAUUGAUGUUACUCACCAGAAGAUGAAAUGGUGUGGAAGGAAACAAGCAUAAAACACAACAUCCAUACACGACUAACAAGAUACUGCCCUUGUUAUAGAUGAGCACACCGAACCUCAGAGAAAUCAAAUAAAUUUCCCAAUUUCACACAGUGGAUGAUUUGGUUUGAAACCAAGACAGACAAGAUGGAAAAUAAAUGCUUGC